UACAGAGGGUGCGAGCGUUAAUCGGAAUUACUGGGCGUAAAGCGUGCGUAGACGGUUAUUUAAGUCGGAUGUGAAAGCCCCCGGGCUCAACCUGGGAAUUGCAUUCGAGACUGAAUAGCUAGGGUACGGUAGAGGGAAGUGGAAUUUCCGGUGUAGCGGUGAAAUGCGUAGAUAUCGGAAGGAACAUCAGUGGCGAAAGCGACUUCCAGGACCG
rnacentral:rRNA from 1 species